rnacentral:rRNA from 1 species
GACGAACGCUGGCGGCGUGCCUAAUACAUGCAAGUCGAACGCAGUGGGGACGGGUGAGUAACACGUGGGUAACCUCCCAUCAGAGGGGAUAACACUUGGAAACAGGUGCUAAACCGAUACAGAUGGAUGGACCCGCGGUGCAUGAGCUAGUUGGUGAGGUAACGGCUCACCAAGGCCACGAUGCAUAGCCGGCCUGAGAGGGUGAUCAGCCACACUGGGACUGAGACACGGCCCAGACUCCUACGGGAGGCAGCAGUGGGGAAGAUUCGGCAAUGGGCGAAAGUCUGACCGAGCCACGCCGCGUGAGUGAAGAAGGUUUUCGGAUUGUAAAACUCUGUUGUUAGGGAGGCGGUACCUAACCAGAAAGCCACGGCUAACUACGUGCCAGCAGCCGCGGUAAUAC